UACAGAGGAUGCAAGCGUUAUCCGGAAUGAUUGGGCGUAAAGCGUCUGUAGGUGGCUUUUUAAGUCCGCCGUCAAAUCCCAGGGCUCAACUCUGGACAGGCGGUGGAAACUACCAAGCUGGAGUACGGUAGGGGCAAAGGGAAUUCCCGGUGUAGCAGUGAAAUGCGUAGAGAUCGGGAGGAACACCAGAGGCGAAAGCGGCGACCUGGACAGGCACUGACACUCAACUACGAAAGCGUGGGGAGCAAACAGG
rnacentral:rRNA from 1 species